rnacentral:rRNA from 1 species
GCAGUCGCCGCGGUAAUACGGAGGGUGCAAGCGUUAAUCGGAAUUACUGGGCGUAAAGCGCACGCAGGCGGUCUGACAAGUCAGAUGUGAAAUCCCCGGGCUUAACCUGGGAACUGCAUUUGAAACUGUCAGGCUGGAGUCUUGUAGAGGGGGGUAGAAUUCCAGGUGUAGCGGUGAAAUGCGUAGAGAUCUGGAGGAAUACCGGUGGCGAAGGCGGCCCCCUGGACAAAGACUGACGCUCAGGUGCGAAAGCGUGGGGAGCAAACAGGAUUAGAGACCCGAGUAGUCCCUGUCUCUUAUAC